GAUCAUGGCUCAGGACGAACGCUGGCGGCGUGCUUAACACAUGCAAGUCGAACGAAGAGCGAUGGAAGCUUGCUUCUAUCAAUCUUAGUGGCGAACGGGUGAGUAACGCGUAAUCAACCUGCCCUUCAGAGGGGGACAACAGUUGGAAACGACUGCUAAUACCGCAUACGAUCUAACCUCGGCAUCGAGGCUAGAUGAAAGGUGGCCUCUAUUUAUAAGCUAUCACUGAAGGG
rnacentral:rRNA from 1 species